rnacentral:misc_RNA from 1 species
UGUGGGAGCGAGCUUGCUCGCGAUAGCGGUAUGUCAUUCGACACAGGUGUUGAAUGUUCGAUCGCCAUCGCGAGCAGGCUCGCUCCCACA